rnacentral:rRNA from 1 species
CAGCCGUAAACUAUGCUCGCUAGGUGUCAGGCAUGGCGCGACCGUGUCUGGUGCCGCAGGGAAGCCGUGAAGCGAGCCACCUGGGAAGUACGGCCGCAAGGCUGAAACUUAAAGGAAUUGGCGGGGGGAGCACAACAACGGGUGGAGCCUGCGGUUUAAUUGGACUCAACGCCGGACAACUCACCGGGGACGACAGCAAUAUGUAGGCCAGGCUGAAGACCUUGCCUGAAUCGCUGAGAGGAGGUGCAUGGCGUAGACGUCU